rfam:Medicago truncatula strain A17 chromosome 7, whole genome shotgun sequence.
GUAGGGUCUAGACCUGACAUAUCUUCAUAGGACCAUGCAAAAAUAUCCGGAUAUUCCCGGAGGAGCUGGAUGAUCUUCUGUUUAACCCCCUCCUCUAGAGUAGCACCAAUCUUGAUUUCUCGCUUGUUUUCCUCGGUACCUAUGUUGAUAAGCUCAAUCUCUUCCUGG